UAAGUAAGUUCUCUCUCUUAUGUCUCUCUCCUCUCUCUCUCCUUUAUCUUCACUACCCAACCCUCAACCCCUACCCCUACCAACCCUAACUCCGGCGACCCCCAUUAAGGCAACCCCUCCCUUUUCCCGAGCUAGGCAGCCUUUUUUUUUUCAGGUACAAGCCGCGGCGGACAAGGAGAGCUUACGACAUUUGGACGCGAAGAGC
rnacentral:lncRNA from 1 species